rnacentral:rRNA from 1 species
UACGAAGGGGCUAGCGUUGCUCGGAAUUACUGGGCGUAAAGCGCACGUAGGCGGAUCUUUAGUCAGGGUGAAAUCCUGGAGCUCAACUCCAGAACUGCCUUGAUACUGAAGAUCUUGAGUCCGGGAGAGGUGAGUGGAACUGCGAGUGUAGAGGUGAAAUUCGUAGAUAUUCGCAAGAACACCAGUGGCGAAGCGGCUCACUGGCCCGGUACUGACGCUGAGGCACGAAAGCGUGGGAGCAACAGG